AUAUCCAUAAUCCAUAAUGUUCUGAAAACAAGGUUUACAACAAUCGUGACGACACCAACAAUAAUAAUAGGUAGACUCGCCUGGAAUCGCAUAAUUUGAAGGAAAUUGUAUUGCAAAGGGCAUAACUGUUAACUGUUUGCUAUAGUGUUAAUAUUCAGAUAAUGGUUUGCUAUAGUAUUAAUAUUCAGAUAAUGUAAUCGCUAGCUCUGACCGAAACACAACAACCAGCGCUGGAAUGUUUUUACUGUGGAGCGUGCGGAGCGGAGAAGAAUGUUUCAGCCACGCCCACUUCCCCGGACAUCCAAUCCUCAACGAGCAGCAGUUUCAAGGCGCCCCACCAAACGCCAUCGAAAGCAAAACAAUGGCUGAAGAAAUAAUUUAAUUGCGCUUUCUCGUCGCAAACCUCACUUCAGAUACACAUAGAUGUAUAAAACAAGCAAGUUCGGCAAAUUUGUAUGGUGCAAUCGCUUUUGGAUGCAGCCCAGUCAUGGGGUUGUUUAUCAGUAGUAAGGGGAACUUGAAACCGCCCACCUUGCCCCGUGUCCUCGGUUGUUUUCCUUCUCGCGCCUGGAUUCUCCAUGUUGUCGAAGCAAAAAAAGCUCAGUGCAGCUUUGGCUGUACUAGAGGGGGCUGUGCAUAAAUGUAAGGGACGAGAAAGCAAAUUAGGUCGCCUAGCCAAGAGAAUAGCCGAUAAGAGAAAACAAAACGGUGUCAUGCCCCUCCCAUGUAGAUGAGAAUAGAAGGCGGGAAUAAGUCAGCUAAAUAUCAGGAAUUAAUUUCUUCUUGUUUUUUUAUUAUCGCAGACGGAACGGAGAUUAUUUAAGUAGGCUUGCCGUCGGUUAUUUUAAUAUAGCAAAAAUGCCGACCUACUGUUCGAGUUUGCAAAAUGGACUGGAUGUUGAGGGCUGUGCGUUUGUUAGAUGGAAACUUCGAUCAUCACCCAAGUACAGAGGACGUUGUCGAAAACAAGUCAGGUAACUGGCUUGAACCCGAAAAGCCUAGAAGUUUUGGAACGUCUUCUAAGAACUCUGAUUACGACCACAAGCUUCCCUGUAGCAAGCUGCACCUUCCCAUGAUGCCCUGCUAACACCCGAGGACAACUGGACCGUUGCCAAGGUCCCAGGUGAAAGACUCGUGCCGACAAUGACCUCUCAGGACCAGGGCAAAAGUCUGCGUGGCCACAAGCCUGAAUGAGAUAAGGAGUCUGUUUAAGCACAUAAGCACUGCAAGUUUCACUGUGCCUGUUGGGAGACUAAGGGGACCAAACCAGGUGUAUGUGGCUAUGUGGAUGAGUUCCUACAGAGGACAAUCGAACUGUCAGUGUGUAUCAGGCAGCCUUUUUAACUACACUCACAUGCCAAAAGUCAUUGGAGUAUGUAGAGUGAAGCGGCAUUAACUCGGAGGACGGCUUGGGAACGCACACACCUGUAUAAGUUGUGAGGUGUUAUUUUCGCUGGCCAACGUGUUCACGGCAAGGCGGCAUGAAUUGUCGUAGUUCGGACAAGGCCUGGUAGUGAGUGCCAGACAGAUGGGACAUUCCUUUUCCAAAGUUGUGUGGGCAUUUAACAUUCCUCGAGCCACAGUGUCAUGUUGCUAACUGGACCCUAGAGGACCUGCGACAUGUGGCGCAGUCCGAUGAGUCGUGGCACCAGUUGUUUCAGGCUGGUGGUGGGAUUCAUGUGUGGGUGUAGACCCCAUGAAGCCAUGGACCUCAGUUGUCAACAAGGCACUGUGCAGGGAGGUGGAGGUUCCUUACUGGUCUUGGAGGGUGUUCUCAUGGCAUGGGUUUGGUCCAUUUCUGGUGCCCACUGCAUUUCGCUGAUUGGUGACCAUUUGCAUCCAUUCAUGGACUUCAUUUACACCCAGAAUGAUGGGAUAUUCCAGCAGAAUAAUAUGCCUUUUGCCAGUUGCUUCAAGGGGCAUUCUUGGUUAAAGGUCCAUUCCGCAACAGAUAUCCUGCACCUACAAAUACCACAGAGCUGUGGGUGGCUGUCCAGACCGCACGGCUCAACCUCCCUCCAGACGUCUUCUGUCCAUGCUGAGCUGCUGCACUUCUACGGGCUAGAGUGGCACCUACACAAUAUUUAGUCCCUGUCUCAUGACUUUUGGCACAUCAGUGUAGAACAAUUGCACAUCCUUACAGGACUGGAUGGAACACUAAGUAAAUGUUAAGUUUAGCUGACCCCCAUUGUAAGCAAGUAAUUUGGGGUCACCCAGUUAAUUUCCUGGAGUGCCUCAAUUCCUCUUUGAAAUUGAGUCCAAACCUUCACCUGUGUGAAGAACAUGAAUGUCCACCUGACCGUACCAUGCUUUUCCCUGCUGUGGCUCUUCCACCACCCCCCUUUUCAUGCAGUAUAAGUCUCUGGUCUCCAGUAUAAGACCAGAUGCAUCAGUUUAUAUAGCUUGGUGCGUGCUGGCAAAAGGACAGCCAAAUAGGGUUAGGGCAAAAACAUUUUGGCAGGUCAGAUCCAUCGUGGCAUUAACUGGAACUAGAUCUAGAAAUAAUUAGAACUAGAUCUAGAACUAACUAGAACUAGAUCUAGAACUAGAUCUAGAUCUAGAACUAACUAGAACUGGAACUAGAUCUAGAACUAACUAGAACUAGAACUAGAUCUAGAACUAACUAGAACUAGAACUAACUAUAUCUAUACAUAUUCACCCAGAAGUAGUCCACAUGACAGACUGUUGAGUGCUGCUGUGGUUGAAAUGUUUGGAACAUCUGAGGAUCAGAUAUUUUUUUUGAGAAGACCGCGGCAUGCAGAAUAUAAUAUUACAGCAAUAUUGGGACCAAAUAAUGGGAAAUCCUUAGAAUGUUUGUAUCUAGUAAAAUAUCUAUAACAACCACUCAGCAAAUUUCACCAACGGAUGUCUUAUGUUGUCUCUGACAUGAGUGCUCGGCAAAUUGUUUGUGUAUGUUUUACUGUAUUUGUAAGUUACAUGUACUCUGAAUCAAAUGUUGUACGCUGGCAUCUAAUUCAACAUAUAAACUUGGAUCAUUCAAAUCUACCACAAAAGUGUCCA